UACGUAGGGGGCUAGCGUUGUCCGGAAUCAUUGGGCGUAAAGCGCGUGUAGGCGGUCCGGUAAGUCCGCUGUGAAAGUCGGGGGCUCAACCCUCGGAUGCCGGUGGAUACUGUCGGGCUUGAGUACGGAAGAGGCGAGUGGAAUUCCUGGUGUAGCGGUGAAAUGCGCAGAUAUCAGGAAGAACACCCGUGGCUAAGGCGGCUCUCUAGUACGGUACUGACGCUGAGACGCGAAAGCGUGGGGAGCGAACAGG
rnacentral:rRNA from 1 species